rnacentral:pre_miRNA from 1 species
AGGGGGGCGGGGGCGUCCCUUAGCCCAGAUUGCGAGAGGUCACAGGCCAGGCGGAGGGACCCCAUCGGUGCAUG